GGGGAUUUAGCUCAGUGGUAGAGCGCUUGCCUAGCAAGAGCAAGGCUCUAGCAAGGCCCUGGGUUCGGUCCCCAGCUCCG
rfam:Rattus norvegicus chromosome 18, whole genome shotgun sequence.